GACGAUGAAAGGUGUAGUAAGUAACUAAAUACUUCGGGGAGUUAAAAAUAAGCAUAGAUCCAGAGAUUCCCGAAUAGGUCAACCUUUCGAAUUGUUGUUGAAUCCAUAGGCAGGCAAGAGACAAUCUGGCGAACUAAAACAUCUUAGUAGCCAAAGGAAAAGAAAGCAAAAGCGAUUCCCAUAGUAGUGAUGAGCGAAAUGGGAACAACCUAAACCAUGAAAACAGGGUUUAGAAC
rnacentral:ncRNA from 1 species